rnacentral:rRNA from 1 species
UGGGGAAUAUUGCACAAUGGGGGAAACCCUGAUGCAGCGACGCCGCGUGAGUGAGGAAGUAUUUCGGUAUGUAAAGCUCUAUCAGCAGGGAAGAAAGUGACGGUACCUGACUAAGAAGCCCCGGCUAACUACGUGCCAGCAGCCGCGGUAAUACGUAGGGGGCAAGCGUUAUCCGGAUUUACUGGGUGUAAAGGGAGCGUAGACGGAGGAGCAAGUCUGAAGUGAAAGCCCGUGGCUCAACUGCGGGAUUGCUUUGGAAACUGUUCAUCUAGAGUGUCGGAGAGGUAAGUGGAAUUCCUAGUGUAGCGGUGAAAUGCGUAGAUAUUAGGAGGAACACCAGUGGCGAAGGCGGCUUACUGGACGAUGACUGACGUUGAGGCUCGAAAGCGUGGGGAGCAAACAGGAUUAGAUACCC